rnacentral:rRNA from 1 species
UACGUAGGGUGCAAGCGUUGUCCGGAAUUAUUGGGCGUAAAGGGCUCGUAGGCGGUCCAUCGCGUCGGGAGUGAAAAGCUGGGGCUCAACCCCAGUCCUGCUUCCGAUACGGGUGGACUAGAGGUAUGCAGGGGAGAACGGAAUUCCUGGUGUAGCGGUGAAAUGCGCAGAUAUCAGGAGGAACACCAAUGGCGAAGGCAGCUCGCUGGGACGGUACUGACGCUGAGGCGCGAAAGCGUGGGGAGCAAACAGG